UGUUUCACCUUGGUGAUGUAGUCGCUCAUUGCAUCGUCCUUGGAUUUAGCUUCAACAGCCUUCCAGGCAUCCCAUUUGGCUCUGUCCCUCUGGUUGAACACUCCAGGUCGGCUAGUGUUCACGGGUCCAACAGUGGCCUGCUUGUAUAGUCCAUAGAGAAUGAGUUUGUCUUCAUUGCUUGUGUUCUCCGGCAAGGUCUUUGCUUUCUCAGCAUACUCCUCAAACUCCUCCUUCAAACCCAUGGCGAUUCUUCUAUGUUGCUAAGCUUGAAGCUCGAUUACAG
rnacentral:misc_RNA from 1 species